UACGGAGGGGGCUAGCGUUGUUCGGAAUCACUGGGCGUAAAGCGCACGUAGGCGGCUUUGCAAGUCAGAGGUGAAAGCCCGGGGCUCAACCCCGGAAUAGCCUUUGAGACUGCAUGGCUUGAACGUCGGAGAGGUGAGUGGAAUUCCGAGUGUAGAGGUGAAAUUCGUAGAUAUUCGGAAGAACACCAGUGGCGAAGGCGGCUCACUGGACGACUGUUGACGCUGAGGUGCGAAAGCGUGGGGAGCAAACAGG
rnacentral:rRNA from 1 species